GCAGCUCCUGGUGCCAGUUUCCCAGGAGCAUGGCCAGGCCCCGGGUCUCUCCAUCACAGCUGUGACUCUGGCUUCUUCCGGGAAGUGAGGUGGGGUCACUCCCCAUGGAGCCGCCACCGCUGCUUCAAUGUUCUGUAGGCCUGCACGGCCUGUUCUCUCUCCUCCCCACAAUCCGCUGGUGGGCCAGGGAGGCAGUCAGAGGCACCUCCCUGGCCCCAGGAAGGGAAUAUCAUUUGGACUCACCAGAUCAUGGUAAUUCCAUUACCCUUGCCAGCAACUGUGGAGACAUGACUAUUAUAGCCAGUGGGAUUUAAUGGGAUAUCCUCUGGGCGCCUCUGGGAGAGUCGUUCCUCCUGAAUAAAAAGACACAUGGGCCAGGCACAGUGGCUCAUGCCUGUAUUUCCAGCACUUUGGGAGUCCAAGGCAGGUGGAACACUUGAGGUCAGGGGUUCGAGACCAACCUGGCCAACGUGGUGAAACCCCAUCUCUACUAAAAAUACAAAAAUUAGCUGGGCAUGGUGGCACAUGCCUGUAAUCCCAGCUACUUGGAAGGCUGAGGCAGGAGAAUUGCUUGAACCUGGGAGGUGGAGGUUGCAGUGAGUCAAUAUUGUGUCAUUGCACUCCAGCCUGGGUUACAUAACAAGACUCUGUCUCAAAAAAAAAAAAAAAAAAAACAACCACAAGGAAGAAAACCCCAUCUCUUCUUCAGACUGAUGUUUCUGGGUUCACAUGUGAUACCUGGAACAGUGGCAGCCUUCAGCCUUUCUGGAAUAAUGAAGAGGCAAGCCCAAGAACAAAGCCAACAUGAUGAGGAUGGCAGGACAGAAAGACAGAGAGAGGCUAAUCCUUAUUGAAGUCAGUCAUUGGCUGAGCUACCCAUGGAUACUGCCUUCAGACUUGCUUUGAUACCUUACUGCCUAAACUACAUUCAGGAAAAUGCCUGGUUGAAGCCAGCUUGCAAUUCCAAAGUCAGAAGGUUGCCUGGGAAGCCAUGAAACAAAGCCAAAUCAAGGCAAAGCAGACACAUGGAGAUUUUGAGACUGAGAAGAGGGAAACUGAGGACAUUCAUGUGAGAUGGUUUCAAGUUUCCCUUAGAAGGAGAAGUUAUCUUCAGAAGGUCAGGUUGGUGAGGUGGAUGUUCAAAAACAACAAAGUAUGUAGCUACCAUUGUGAGGAAGACCAUGGAAAAUGGACAAAUCAGAAUGAGAGGCUUUCUGAACAAGACCUAGAGACAGAAGCAGAUAAUGCAUGUGUCAUCUACAUCUGGCAAAAGCCAAAGGUUUGGAAGAUGGACAAAGGAAUCCAGGCGAAAAGGAGCCCAUGA
rnacentral:lncRNA from 1 species